CCCUACCAAGUCACCCUAAGCUGACCAAAAGACAAGACAGGAGACCAAGCAGCCACACCACCACUUCCCGAGCCAGCCAAAUUCAUGCUUUCUCCAGUCCCUUUUAGAGCCUCGGAGGACAUCAAGGCUGUCUAACAGACAGGAUUCACGGCUUUUUGUCUUUUAUUCCUUGCCAGGUGUGGCCCGGCUCUGUGCUCGCUGCAGCACGUGAGCAGCCCAGCCACGCUGCCAGAGUCACACUCAGCAGGAUCAGUACUGGAGGGGUAUUCCAAGCAGACAUCCCAGAGGAGGUGCACCAACGUGGACUGAUGCUUCUCCGGGAAAUUCUCACCAAAGUCUGUGCCGCUGUGCUUUCUCCGAAAUUAUAACCAGAACAAUCCAGCUCAGUACAGGAAGGCAGUCAGGACUUCGUCGUCACUGCGACCAAAGCUCUUAUGUGGUCAUGCACGAGCACGCUGUAUUUGAAUAAAAGAUAUGCAAAGGCAUUCGUAUGAACAGUCGCAGACGUAAGCAGAGUCUCCAGCAAACUCACGGAGUCAAAUGCACAUAAACAACUCCGCGCUCGCUCCUCACUCACUACUCCCUUCGCCUCCAUCAUUAUGAAUAAAGGCUGGGUCAGGACCACG